AGAGUGAGACUCCGUCUCAAAAAAAAAAAGAAACUAUUUCAUGGACAGAAUGAGACCCUGUCUCAAAGAUUAGGAGCUCCUCUGUGGGUUGUAUGUGCUGUGAGACUGGAAUCCCUAAGGGGCUCUAUGUCCCUUUUAUCAGAUAGGCUCUUUAUAGGAUUCUGUGUCUCCCUCAUUGGUCUUGAGCACUUGCCAAGCUCUCCCCUGCAGGAGAGCUUCGUGCGCCUGGUGGAGGCCUGUGGGGACUCGGAGCAGAGCAUGGACAAUGCUGAGUCUGCUGGACGGCUGCUGCUGGCUGUAACAUGUAAAGGAGGCACUGAGCACUGCCUGCCCAGGGCAUAGAGAGAUGCCCGUGUGAAGUGAGGAUUCGGACGCACUCCCUGUGGUCUUGGUUCAACCAGCCGAAAGAGCAACAAAGACUCCGGAACCCACUCUACAUCCUCAAUCCCUUGGCCAUCUGUGGAGCCCCAGAGCCUGCGGCUGGGCAAGGUGAGCCCCACACCUUCUCCAUGGGGGAUUAUCCCUCCGCUCAGCGUCCUGACCUGUCUUCCUCCUCCUUGGGCCUGUUUCUUCGCUGGACCCACUCACCUGAGCCUGCAGAAGCCGCAUGGGGGAAAAGUGUGGCAAAUAGUGACAGGAAGGGAUAAGACAGAAGCCUCCCAGCCAACUACUUCAGCCCCCAGCCUAAGCACUGGCUCCUUGGACAGCAACUGAGAUGUUCCUGAAACCUCUGCAGGCCCCUUAGGACCUUUACACCUUGGAAGAGGAUGCCUGCAACCCAGGAUGGCCAAAAGUACGGACAGUCUUAAGUUUGAGGUGUCCAAAGUAUAGGGAGGUCUAAAUAAUAAAAGUCUCCAUGAU